rnacentral:lncRNA from 1 species
GUGUCAGAACGUGCGUGUGAGCGGAUACAAAACCCGAGAGAGGCGUGAGCAGCGCCGUGUGUGCGAGCGGGAGCGAGGGGCGCCGGCUCGGGGUGUGUGCGCCUGGAGCAUUCCAGACUGUAUCUGCUUUCAGAAAUAUCUCUGUGGAUCCCCAGAGCUUAUUCUACUAGAAGCAAGAUGGCUGAACUCAAUACUCAUGUGAAUGUCAAGGAAAAG